AUUUGGUAGUGAUGGCGA
rnacentral:rRNA from 1 species